rnacentral:rRNA from 1 species
CCCAAGAGAUCGGGAUAACACCUGGAAACAGAUGCUAAUACCGGAUAACAACAGAUGAUGCCUAUCAACUGUUUAAAAGAUGGUUCUGCUAUCACUCUUGGAUGGACCUGCGGUGCAUUAGCUAGUUGGUAGGGUAACGGCCUACCAAGGCGAUGAUGCAUAGCCGAGUUGAGAGACUGAUCGGCCACAUUGGGACUGAGACACGGCCCAAACUCCUACGGGAGGCAGCAGUC